rnacentral:lncRNA from 10 species
CAUGCCUUGAGUAUCACUCACAUUUGAUUCAGAUGAGACGCUGGACUUUGGACUUUUGAGUUGGUGCUGAAAUGAGUUUAGUUCACCAAGAAAUGGGAAGAAAAAUCGGAGGGGAGCAGUUGACACCACUCAUUAAAUAUGCCAUUCUUUUCUCACUGAGGUGAAAUGUGAGCUUCAUCAUAUGCCGAAUGAUUACAUAUCCCCGAGUCUGUUUUUAGAUAUGAAUUUAUUUUGUUGAUUUAUUUGCCUAG